CAGAGUGAUGACAUCACUGCAUUCUCAUUCGGCCAUUUCUUGGGAGAACACUUUCUAUCUAGAAUAAUUAACAACUUCAUGAAAUAUACAGAGACCUGUGAAAGCCUGUCUACAGAUGAAGAGAUCCCAAUGAAUGUCCCAAGACUGCAGUGGUUCUCAAUCCUGGUCCUGGGGAGACAAAAAACAAAAACAUUUUUGUUUUUGCCUUAGCACUACACAGUUGAUUGAAAUGAUCAACUCAUCAUCAAGCUUUGAUGAUUUUAAUCAGGUGUGUAGUGCUAAGGCAAAACUAAAAUGUGCACCCCUUGACAUUGUGUAUCCGAAGCAGAGAAUAGCUUAACUCACACAUUGUUUACAUAUUGUAGAGCUUUAUGUUCUUAAUUUAAAAUGAUAGCAUUAUACAAUGUAUAUGAGGCUAAUCAUGAUGCCAUCCAAUAUGAUAUCAAAAUAAGGAGCUGGCCAUUUGUAGGCUACAGGAGAUGAGCAUUACAGGUAAGAUAUUACGAGGUUAAUUUAAUUCAUUUGACCAAUGCUGCUUGCAGUAAGGUUUCAAUUGGGUUGUUCCCAUAGAUAGUACAUCAUUGGUUUCUCUAUGCAUCAUUGACCCUGGGUAAGCAUGAGACUGGGCUACCACAGCAAACGUUUUAUGUCAAUAAUAUAUAUAUAUUUUUUAUGUUGUAUAAUGGUGAGAAAAAUGUAACUAGUUAGUAACUAGCUAGCUAAUACCAAGGUGUCUAACAAUGUUAUGGGCUAGCUGACUUUUCUCAAAACAAACCUCAUUGUGGCUAGCUACUUUUUGUCCCUCAUCAGGGCUGGCGUUAUGGGCAUCUUUUUGGGAAUCUGAGGGCCCAUGCCAAAUCUUUUCAGCCUCCUGCGAUGGAAGAGGCAUUGCCGUGCCCUAUUUACGACUGUGUUGGUGUGUGUGGACCAUGAUAGAUCCUGAGUAAUAUUGUGGACACAGAGGAACAUGAAACUCUCGACCCGCUCCUCUACAGCCCUGUCGAUGUGAAUGCAGUGAAUGCAGAGUGUUAGGUACCGGUGUGAGAAUACAAUGUGAUUAUUGAGUAACCUGGAGAAAUUGUGUCCCAGGAACCCCUGUGGUGCUAGCUCUCUCUCUCCCUCUCUCCCUCUCUCCCUCUCUCCCUCUCUCCCUCUCUCCCUCUCUCUCUCUCUCUCUCUCUCUCUCUCUCUCUCUCUCUCUCUCUCUCUCUCUCUCUUCUUUGUCUCCUCUUUGUCUCCCAGUGUCAUAUUAUUGGUGUUAUUAUCCUGUCCAACUUGUUCCUCUGUUCUAUUCUGCAGUGGAGAUAAUAUGUCUCACUAAUGGGGUGCCUGACUUCUGACACACACACUUUCACAGCAUACACACAAAUGCCCAGCAUGGCAUGCACAAACACACAGACACAGGCACAUAUACACACACACUCAGUAACCUUGAAUGGAUGUGCACAGACUUGCACAAUUCUAAGCUAUGCUGUCAGAGCCAGGUAUUAGAAGGAUUUCUGUUGAAACUCACAGGAAAACAGGGCAGUUCCCAGGAUCUCCCUGAUAUUAAUAGACUGUGGUGCGUGUGUGUGUGUGUGUGUGCAUGCGCUCAUGUGUUGUAUGUGUGAUAACAAACAGAGAAGUCAUUGUUGAUGUGAGUGUGUCCCUAAGCGUUGGAAUCUGGCUCAUUGUCUCCAUCCGAAACUCAAACUUUUUAUGAGUUUUCCCAUGUCAUCAGGUUUUUAAAGGCAGGGAAAGAGUUUUAGGAAAUGUUUCAGAAAGUAUCAUUAUUGCUGUGGUGUAAAAUGGGAAGUCUUUGGUUUGGGUAAUCUAAAUACAAUAGUUUGACUAACUGUUACUCUUCUGUUUGCACUUUGAAGUCGUCACAAGCUCGCUGUGUCUGUGUCUGUCUCUCUUUGUCUGUCUCGCUUUGUCUCCCUCUUUCUCUCGUUCUCUACCCACCCCCAGUCCCUCAACAAGCUCUCAACGUCUCACCUCAGAAUUCGACGUUCCAUCAUGUUUCGCAAACGUCAAAUUUCAAAACUGUUCCAAAUGUCAAUUUUCUAUGUUUUUAAGGUUAAGUUUAGACAUUAACUUCACAUUUUUAAGGUUAGGCAUUAACUCCGAAUGGCUAAGGUAAGGGUUAAGAUUUGGUAUAGGCUUAUAACAAAAAUCACAAAAACUACUUUCUAUCGCUGGAUUUGCACCAGAAGCAGAUGCUUAUGCCUAUCUGCCAUCCCCAUCCACAACAUUCUAGUAAUACCGAAACCUACUUUAAAAUAACAGCGCUCACUGUUGCCCCUAGUGGCCGGUUUCCAUGUCAUCUCCUGACAUCCUCAGACAUGGAUAGACGUCUAAUACUGACUUGUAUCACUGGUGACCUGGCUGAGUCCCUAUCCCCACCCUCUCCUGUUUAACCGACCCAGACACAGGUCUCUGAUGUCAGCCUGAAAGUUGCCACCUCGCCUGGGGGUUCUCUGUAUAGAAGCUGUUCUUAUGACAGCUGAGUUUACCUUAGUUUACCAUUAAGGGUCUUAGUGUGACUCGUAGCACUGCUACGUCUGAAGAAUAUCUCCACCACUAUAUAUCCCACACACACACACACACCCGGGUGGUAGGUAGCCUAGCGGUUAGAGCAUUGGGACACUAACCAAAAGGCUGCUAAUUCAAAUCCCUUAGCCGACAAGGUGAGAAAUCUGUCGAGCACUGCAGUGCUGCUAAAGGCUCUUGAAGGUUGUUUGGCAUUCCAUUUGUUGUUGGUUAACUGGUUAGCUACUUCACCCUGGCCCGUGAUCCCACCAUCCAAGGGUGUCUCAGGGUGAGUUGGGAUAUGCAAAAGACAUAUUUCCAAAAAGGACAAAUAUAAGCACCCACCUUAUUAUUAUUACUACACAUGCACGCACACAGUCAGGUCUAUGAUGUUUCAUAUAGGUAAGUUUGGAAGCAAACCGCUCGAUUUCGUCGCUACAUUAUAUCGGCAUUGAACACGUUACCCUCCCUGGGAGAGGCGGUGACCCCGACAUUUUAUUGUUAAAACGAGAGGCUGCCUGUAUCUUUAAUUUAAAGACCCUUGCUCCCUUCGGUCUCAACAUAGACUUUGUUCUGAAGCCAUUAUUGUGAUUAUUGUGAUGUUGCUAUUCAUUGUAAAGGUUUACAGGCCUAUGUAGCCACAUUUUAUCUAUGAUCGUAUGCUAUCCAUUUGUGUUUUUUAUAUGUUCUAUUUAUAUCUGUCAAUUAACCAAUGAUAUCAAGCCCUACACAGCCAUGAUUACGUGUAUGUCCUUUGACACUAUACAGUAUAAACUAGUGACCCGCAGUGUUUGUCAUUAUACCCUGAUGAAGACAGCUUGUCUGUCGAAACGCUGGUUAUUAGGUUAUUAAACUACUGCAUCUGAGCUCCUCUCCCUUUCUUUUAUUUUUUGAGUGUUGAUCUGUCCCAUGCUGUGAGUAUAUUCCCUGACUGACUCAAUGUCUGUAAUUUCAGCUCUGUGAAAUGUCUGUCUGCUGAGUGGAGGGGUUCCUAAGAUCAGACACUCCACACACAGCAGUACUACUAAGCCUGACGCUCCAGGAGAAACAGAGAUCUCAUUUCAGCUGCACUCACAGGAGAGGAGGUGAAAUGAAAGAGGAAGAGAGGAGAGGAAGAAAGAGAGAAGGGUGAGAUGAGAACCAAGGGUAGUAGACAACCCAACAGAGGUCUGUCUCUAUUCCUGCCUGUACGGGAGACCCUGAGUGCAUGUCCUCUUCUGGCCCUCAACCCUCACCUCGUGAAUGACUGACUAGGGUUUAAUAUUUUCCUGAAAAUCGACCAAUUUUCCUUCCUGAGAAAAUUUCAACCUUCCCUCUAUUCCUGUUCAAACUGGAAAUGCUAUAAAAAAAAAAGCAUGUACAGUGCAUUCGGAAAGUAUUCAGAACCCUGAACUUUUUCCACAUUUUGUUACAUUACAGCCUAAUUCAAAAAACAUUUGAUGGAUUAAAUACUUUUUUUGUCAUCAAUCUACACACAAUAACCCAUAAUGGCAAAGCAAAAACAGGUUUGUAGUACAUUUUGCAAAUGUAUUAAAAAAUUUAAACGGAAAUAUAACAUUUACAUAAGUAUUCAGACCCUUUACUCAGUACUUAGUUGAAGCAACUUUGGCAGCGAUUAUAGCCUUGAAUCCUCUUGGGUAUGACGCUACAAGCUUGGCACACCUAUAUUUGGGAAGUUUCUCCCAUUUUUCUCUGCAGAUCCUCUCAAGCUCUGUCAGGUUGGAUGGGGAGCGUUGCUGUACAGCUAUUUUCAGGUCUAUCCAGAGAUGUUCGAUAGGGUUCAAGUCCAGGUUCUGGCUGGGCCACUUAAGGACAUUCAGAGACUUGUCCCGAAGUCACCCCUGCGUUGUCUUGGUUGUGUGCUUAGGGUCUUUGUCCUGUUGGAAGUUUAACCUUCGCCCCUGCUCUGGAGCAGGUUUUCAUCAAGGAUCUCUCUGUACUUUGCUCCGUUCAUCUUUCCCUCAAUCCUGACUAGUCUCCCAGUCCCUGCCGCUGCAAAACAUCCCCACAGCAUGUUGCUGCCACCACCAUGCUUCACCGUAGGGAUGGUGCCAGGUUUCCUCCAGAAGUGACACUUGUCAUUCAGGCUAAAGAGUUCAAUCUUUGUUUCAUCAGACAGGAGAAUCUUGUUUGUCAUGGUCUGAUACGUGCCUUUUGGCAAAUUCCAAGCAGGCUGUCAUGUGCCUUUUACUGAGGAGUGGCUUCUGUCUAGCCACUCUACCAUAAAGGCCUGAUUGGUGGAAUGCUACAAGAGAUGGUUGUCCUUCUGGAAGAUUCUUCCAUCUCCACAGAGGAUCUCUGGAGCUUUGUCAGAGUGACCAUCGGGUCACCUCCCUGACCAAGGCCCUUCUCCACCGGUUGCUCAGUUUGGCUGAGCGGCCAGCUCUAGGAAGAGUCUUGGAAAUCCCCAAAAAUUGUCAAAGACUCCAGUCACCCAAGUCAUACACUGUUCUCUCUACUACCCUACGGCAAGCAGUACCGGAGAGCCAAGUCUAGGACCAAAAGGCUCCUUAACAGCUUCUACCCCCAAGCCAUAUGACUGCUGAACAAUUAAUGAAAUGCACACCCAGACUAUUUACAUUGACACACCCCCGCCCCCCCCAUUUGUUUUUACACUGCUGUAACCUGUACCCCCGCACUUUGACUCAGUACCAGUACACCGUAUAUAUCCUCGUUAUUGUUAUUUUAUUGUGUUACUCUUUCAUCAUUUUUUACUUUAGUUUAUUUGGUAAAUAUUUUCUCAACUCUUUCCUGAACUGCAAUGUUGGUUAAGGGCUGGUAAGUAAGCAUUUCACGGUAAGGUCUACACCUGUUGUAUUCGGCGCGUGUGACAAAUAAAGUUUGAUUUGAUUUGGUGGUUCCAAACUUCUUCCAUUUAAGAAUGUUGGAAACCACUGUGUUCGUGGGGACCUUCAAUGCUGCAGAAAUGUUUUGGUACCCUUCCGCAGAUCUGUGCCUCAACACAAUCCUGUCUCGGAGCUCUACAAACCAUUCCUUCUACCUGAUGGCUUGGUUUUUAAUCUGACAUGCACCGUCAACUGUGGGACCUUAUAUAGACAGGGGUGUGCCUUUCCAAAUCAUGUCCAAUCAAUUGAAUUUACCACAGGUGGACUCCAAUGAAGUUGUAGAAACAUCUCAAGGAUGAUCAAUGGAAACAGGAUGCACCUGAGCUUAAUUUCGAGUCUCAUAGCAAAGGGUCUGAAUACUUAUGUAAGUAAAGUAUUUAUUGUUUUUUUUAUUUGCAACAAAAAUCAAAAAAUCUGUUUUCGCUUGCCAAAAUCUGACAUAAUUAUACCACUGUACAUGGAGAAAUAUACAACUUAAUCUAACAGUUUCUUGUUGUAUUUGUUGCAAUUUAAUCUAAGUUCUCUCAUGAAGUCACCCCAUUAGCUUGCUGAUGUAGGGCAUAGCUUAUUUUUAAUGUACACUUUAGGGAAAAAAAGGGUUUCAAUAGAGUUCUACGAAGAACCAUUUUGAUCUGAAGAACCACUUUGUAAGGUAAAGGCUUCUACCUAGAACCUUUAACAUCCUAGGAAUCAUUUUUGGAAGGAAGGGUUUGUUGAUGAUUCUUCGGAAGGCAAGAACGGUUCUACAUAGAACCAUAUAUAAUAUUUCCCAGCAUGCUCUAUUACAGGGAGAUUGUCAGAAUUGUUUGUUUUCGUGUUAUCUGUGUUUCUGCAUGUACACUGAACACAAAUAUAAAUGCAACAUGCAACAAUUUCAUUUUUUUUUACUGAAUUACAGUUCAUAUAAGGAAAUCAGCUAAUUUAAAUAAAGGCCCUAAUUAGGCCCUAAUCUAUGGA